GAUGAACGCUGGCGGCGUGCCUAAUACAUGCAAGUCGAGCGAACAGACGAGGAGCUUGCUCCUCUGACGUUAGCGGCGGACGGGUGAGUAACACGUGGAUAACCUACCUAUAAGACUGGGAUAACUUCGGGAAACCGGAGCUAAUACCGGAUAAUAUAUUGAACCGCGUGGUUCAAUAGUGAAAGACGGUUUUGCUGUCACUUAUAGAUGGAUCCGCGCCGCAUUAGCUAGUUGGUAAGGUAACGGCUUACCAAGGCAACGAUGCGUAGCCGACCUGAGAGGGUGAUCGGCCACACUGGAACUGAGACACGGUCCAGACUCCUACGGGAGGCAGCAGUAGGGAAUCUUCCGCAAUGGGCGAAAGCCUGACGGAGCAACGCCGCGUGAGUGAUGAAGGUCUUCGGAUCGUAAAACUCUGUUAUUAGGGAAGAACAAAUGUGUAAGUAACUAAGCACGUCUUGACGGUACCUAAUCAGAAAGCCACGGCUAACUACGUG
rnacentral:rRNA from 1 species